rnacentral:rRNA from 1 species
AGAAUCAACGCUGGCGGCGUGCCUAACACAUGCAAGUCGCAUGAGAAAGGGUAGCAAUACCUGAGUACAGUGGCGCACGGGUGAGUAACACGUGAAUAAUCUACCUCCGAGUGGGGAAUAACUGAGAGAAAUCUUAGCUAAUACCGCAUAAUACCCACGGGUCAAAGCAGCAAUGCGCUUGGAGAGGAGUUCGCGGCAGAUUAGUUAGUUGGCGGGGUAAUGGCCCACCAAGACGAUGAUCUGUA